AAAAUUAUAGUAUAAGGUAGUAUACCCUGUUGUCGACGGGGCGGUUGUUUAAUUUUG
rnacentral:tRNA from 1 species